rnacentral:rRNA from 1 species
UGGGGAAUAUUGCACAAUGGGCGCAAGCCUGAUGCAGCCAUGCCGCGUGUAUGAAGAAGGCCUUCGGGUUGUAAAGUACUUUCAGCGGGGAGGAAGGCGAUAAGGUUAAUAACCUUGUCGAUUGACGUUACCCCCAGAAGAAGCACCGGCUAACUCCGUGCCAGCAGCCGCGGUAAUACGGAGGGUGCAAGCGUUAAUCGGAAUUACUGGGCGUAAAGCGCACGCAGGCGGUCUGUCAAGUCGGAUGUGAAAUCCCCGGGCUCAACCUGGGAACUGCAUUCGAAACUGGCAGGCUAGAGUCUUGUAGAGGGGGGUAGAAUUCCAGGUGUAGCGGUGAAAUGCGUAGAGAUCUGGAGGAAUACCGGUGGCGAAGGCGGCCCCCUGGACAAAGACUGACGCUCAGGUGCGAAAGCGUGGGGAGCAAACA